UUAUCUCCUUCCCUCUCAAACCUUUUCUCUGCACAUUCAAGACCACACACACAUAGACAACAUAUAACAUCAUCAGCCUCCCUUUCUCUCUCUCCCGUUGAUUCACGGCUGCCAAAGACACCGGAAAAGUCACGGUGUCGACCGAUGGUCAUGAUGGUACCAUGUCGAAACUCACGUUCUUGCUACGUGCUCGAUACCUUUACACCUUUGCCGGAGAAAAACUAGACGUCGCCGGAGGACACGAUGCCGCUGGAGACACCCGAAGACGCGACAAGAAUCAUCCAUCGUGUCGGUUGUCGAGAUAAUUAAAGCUGCAUGGAAUCAAACAGGAAUGACUUAGAACUCAUCUAAAAUUAGAAUACUUGAUGUAUCUUAUUUAUUUCGAACUUGUU